UUAUAUAUAUUGUUCUCUAUAUUCCUUGUUGUUUACUGGUCAGUAUUUUUAAGUCAGAGUGCUAAAUUAUUUUUUUCUUUCCUUGCUUGCUUUUCAAUAGUAUUAAGCUGAUAAACUUUCUGUAGGUGGGAUGCUGACAGGAAAAUGGAUGUACAUGCAUAAAAAAACCUGGGACAUUUUACAGAAAAUGUUUCUACGUUUACCUGAUGUGGUAGGAGAAUUUGGGAAAGAACUUGAAGUUGAAGAAUAUACUUACUGCCAGCAUUAUUUGAAAGACCUUUCCUUCCAGCCACCAAAUAUUUUGCCUCAGCAGGUAAGCUCAACAGGACCCACAAACUAAGACAAAUUUCGUGUGCAAGGUUAUUCAG
rnacentral:lncRNA from 1 species